CAGUCGCCGCGGUAAUACGAAGGGGGCUAGCGUUGCUCGGAAUGACUGGGCGUAAAGGGCGCGUAGGCGGAUGGCACAGUCAGAUGUGAAAUUCCCGGGCUUAACCUGGGGGCUGCAUUUGAUACGUGUUGUCUAGAGUGAGGAAGAGGGUCGUGGAAUUCCCAGUGUAGAGGUGAAAUUCGUAGAUAUUGGGAAGAACACCGGUGGCGAAGGCGGCGACCUGGUCCUUUACUGACGCUGAGGCGCGAAAGCGUGAGGAGCAAACAGGAUUAGAUACCCCCGUAGUCCCUGUCUCUUAUAC
rnacentral:rRNA from 1 species